rnacentral:rRNA from 1 species
UACGGGGGGGGCAAGCGUUGUUCGGAAUUACUGGGCGUAAAGGGCUCGUAGGCGGCCAACUAAGUCGGAUGUGAAAUCCCCAGGCUCAACCUGGGAACUGCGUCCGAUACUGGAUGGCUUGAAUUCGGGAGAGGGAUGCAGAAUUCCAGGUGUAGCGGUGAAAUGCGUAGAUAUCAGGAGGAACACCAAUAGCGAAGGCAGCUCGCUGGGACGGUACUGACGCUAAGGCGCGAAAGCGUGGGGAGCGAACAGG